UGCAUAAACCGGCUUAGAGUUUGAUCAUGGCUCAGGAUAAACGCUGGCGGCGCACAUAAGACAUGCAAGUCGAACGGACUUAAUCGAUUCUUUUAGAUUCGAAGCGGUUAGUGGCGGACUGGUGAGUAACACGUAAGCAACCUGCCUAUUAGAGGGGAAUAACAGUGAGAAAUCACUGCUAAAACCGCAUAUGCCGUGAACAUCGCAUGAUGAAAACGGGAAAAGAGCAAUCUGCUAAUAGAUGGGCUUGCGUCUGAUUAGCUAGUUGGUGUGGUAAAGGCAUACCAAGGCAACUAUCAUUAGCCGGACUGAGAGGUUGAACGGCCACAUUGGGACUGAGAUACGGCCCAGACUCCUACGGGAGGCAGCAGUCGGGAAUAUUGCGCAAUGGAGGAAACUCUGACGCAGUGACGCCGCGUAUGGGAAGAAGGUUUUCGGAUUGUAAACCAUUUUAGACAAGGAAGAAAGAAGACAGUACUUGUAGAAUAAGCUCCGGCUAACUACGUGCCAGCAGCCGCGGUAAUAUCUAUGGAGCAAGCGUUAUCCGGAUUUAUUGGUUGUAAAGGGUGCGUAGACGGGAAGGUAAUUUAGUUGU
rnacentral:rRNA from 1 species